UGCCGCUCAGCUUCAGGUCCACCAGAUCCUACUGAACAUCAACGUUUCCAGGACCAGACAAAACUUUGAUUCAGUUUGAAAGAAGGACUUCAGUCAUCUUAAUAUAACAGAUUAUAAUAAUAAUUAUUAUUAUUGUUAUUAUUAUAAAAUACAACAGUAGCUGGUCACUGUAUGACAGAACAGUAAGGAUGAUGAUGACGAUGGUGGUCAUGAAAGUGAUGCUGGUAAUGAUGACAGAAUUACAAUAUUGAUGAUGAGGUUGUUGAUGAUAAUUAUCAUGACAGUUAUGGUGUCUAUGAGGUCAAUGAGGCUUGUCACGAUGAUGAUUACAAUGAGGUAAGUUAUAAUGAUGGUGAUGGUGGCGAUGAUGAUGUAAUGGUGAUGAUAAUUCGGAUUAUGAUUGAUAACAGGUUUGAUAAAGAAGAUGAGAAUGACGAAGAUGAUAAUGAUGAAAAUGAUAAUGUGAGCAUAGACAUGAUGAUUAUAAGCAUAUUGACAGGGGUGAUGAGAAUUGAUUUGAGUUAAGCCGAUAAUGAUAAUAAAAAAAUUGAUGAGAAUGUUCAAAAGCAUAAUAAAUGUCAAAAAUCAAAUGGUAACGUUGGUUAUAAUAAGGGUGGUGAUGAUGAUAAUGGUAGUGGUGAUGAGGAUGAUGAUGGUGAUGGUGAUGAGGAUGAUGGUAAUGUUGGUGAUGGUAAUGAUAAUGAUGAUGGUGAUGAGGAUGAUGGUAGUGGUGAUGAAGAUGAUGAAGUCGGUGAUGGUGAUAAUGGUGACUCUGCGUCCUCCCACACUUUAAAGCACCAACUUUAUCCUCAGUUUUUGCUCUGCAGCGUCAUGAAGAGUGUUAUUUUGAUAUAAAAAAUAAAAUGGCUGACCCCCAUUAUUUGUAAAUGUGAGAGUUUCUGCCCACAGAGCCUCUCAGAAGGAAGGUGUGAGUUUAAUCAGGCCCCCCCGCUGAUAAAUGUAGUUUUCUCUACUCAUUAGAACGAUGUUUGUCUGCCACACGCUGCAUUUAAUCCCUACAAAGUGCAGAGUAGUCGAGAGCUGAGUCAUCAAGGAUGAAGCCAGCGUACACACACACACAAACACACACACACACACACACACACACACACACACACACACACACACACAGAACCAAAGCCCUGAGAAUCCUGUGGGUUUGACAGAAAAUGACUCAGAGGAUCUCUCAGGUCUCCUUCACCCACUCACGGCUCAGACCUCCAGAUUAAAAUGUCGACAGCAUCACAGCUCAACUUUCCCACCGUUCAGACUGAUGAAUAAUGAAUCAUUUGUUUUGAGACAUGAAUCGUCACUUUACUGGAGACACAACUGCUGCUGUGAGAAACACCACCAGAGGGAGAGUAGAAACACAGAAAAACCUGUUAGUGAAUGAUGACUGGAGUUUGCUGCUUUCUCACAGCUGAUUUAGGGCCGCUUUCAAGUAAGACUAAACUGGACAUUAAAGGGAUAUUCCGGCGUAAAAUUAACUUAGGGUCAAACACACCGUAACACCGAGUUAGACCCCCCUCCAGAGAUGAAUGUUGUC